rnacentral:rRNA from 1 species
UACGUAGGGGCCUAGCGUUGUCCGGAUUUAUUGGGCGUAAAGAGCUCGUAGGCGGCUCAGUAAGUCAGGUGUGAAAACUCCAGGCUCAACCUGGAGACGCCACCUGAUACUGCUGUGGCUAGAGUCCGGUAGGGGAGCAUGGAAUUCCUGGUGUAGCGGUGAAAUGCGCAGAUAUCAGGAGGAACACCAGUGGCGAAGGCGGUGCUCUGGGCCGGAACUGACGCUGAGGAGCGAAAGCGUGGGGAGCAAACAGG